GAUUAGUAGAGUAGGCGCACGGGUGAGUAGCGCGUGGAUAAUCUGCCUGGUAGUGGGGAAUAACGGCUGGAAACGGCCGCUAAUACCGCAUGAGCUUCAUAUUUGGCUUUAUGAAGGAAAGAGGGCCUCUGCAUAUGCUCUUGCUACCGGAUGAGUCCGCGUCCCAUUAGCUAGUUGGCGGGGUAACGGCCCACCAAGGCGACGAUGGGUAGCUGUUCUGAGAGGAUGAUCAGCCACAUUGGAACUGGAACACGGUCCAAACUCCUACGGGAGGCAGCAGUGGGGAAUAUUGCGCAAUGGGCGAAAGCCUGACGCAGCGACGCCGCGUGAGGGAAGAAGGUCUUCGGAUCGUAAACCUCUGUCAGAAGGGAAGAAAAGUUGGCACGUUCUAAUCAGCGUGCCAUUGACGGUACCUUCAAAGGAAGCACCGGCUAACUCCGUGCCAGCAGCCGCG
rnacentral:rRNA from 1 species